CACAAAGGUCAAAACAUUGUCCUGACAUUCUGCAAACAUUUGGGCUGCGUAUCCCAUCACCUGUUUUGAAAAUGUUAUUUUAACAGAGAAGAUAACGGGACAGAGCGCGCCCUGUUGCUGAAGUGUAGCUGCGGUGUGGAGUUUCCACCAAAUUGCGAGUGGCUUGACCUUUCAGCGCGAGCUUCGAUGUGAGGGACUUUCCCCCUCAGGGAGAAAAGGAGAAAAAAAAGGUUUUGGUUUCCACCUGUUCCUUGUGUCUACCAAUCAGCUCCCUCCAGCCACUCAUGUCUUCUCCAGCUACUUGUGCACACCUGAACAACAAUGAAGUCUGUCUAAGGCGAAGUCCAAGAUGGUUGGCCCGCAUUUUUUCCAUCCUGUGAUUGGUUGGUCAGAGCAAAACAUGUUACAUCCAACUUCAACUAGGAAAAAACAUCUACAGCGAUCUGCUUACGGUUAAUCAUCAU